CAAUAGCGUAUAUUUAAGUUGUUGCAGUUAAAAAGCUCGUAGUUGGAUUUCGGGUAGGAUUUGCCGGUCCGUCUUUGAGAUGUGUACUGGUAAGUCCUAUCUUCUUGUCGGGGACCAGCUCCUGGGCUUCACUGUCCGGGACUGGGAGCCGACGUAGUUACUUUGAGUAAAUUAGAGUGUUCAAAGCAAGCCUACGCUUUGAAUAUAUUAGCAUGGAAUAACACGAUAGGGCUCUGGCUUAUCUUGUUGGUCUGUGAGGCCAGAGUAAUGAUUAAGAGGGACAGUCGGGGACAUUCGUAUUUCAUUGUCAGAGGUGAAAUUCUUGGAUUUAUGAAAGACGAACUUCUGCGAAAGCAUUUGUCAAGGAUGUUUUCAUUAA
rnacentral:rRNA from 1 species